rnacentral:rRNA from 1 species
CUACGUGCCAGCAGCCGCGGUAAUACGUAGGGCGCGAGCGUUGUCCGGAAUUAUUGGGCGUAAAGGGCUUGUAGGCGGUUGGUCGCGUCUGCCGUGAAAUUCUCUGGCUUAACUGGGGGCGUGCGGUGGGUACGGGCUGACUUGAGUGCGGUAGGGGAGACUGGAACUCCUGGUGUAGCGGUGGAAUGCGCAGAUAUCAGGAAGAACACCGGUGGCGAAGGCGGGUCUCUGGGCCGUUACUGACGCUGAGGAGCGAAAGCGUGGGGAGCGAACAGGAUUAGAUACCCUGGUAGUCCACGCUGUAAACGUUGGGCACUAGGUGUGGGGGCCACCCGUGGUUUCUGCGCCGUAGCUAACGCUUUAAGUGCCCCGCCUGGGGAGUACGGCCGCAAGGCUAAAACUCAAGGGAAUUGACGGGGGCCCGCACAAGCGGCGGAGCAUGCGGAUUAAUUCGAUGCAACGCGAAGAACCUUACCAAGGCUUGACAUGC